UAUAUUGCAAUACAUUCACUGAGUGACGUCAGUUAUAGUUCAGUACUAGUGUCUAAUAACUGCUGGUGAAUAGAGGAAUCUGAUUGGCCGGAGCUCCGAUAAUCAUAACAAAACAUGUCUUUAGAUAAAGUUUGUGAUGGAUGUCAAAAGAAGGCAACAGUUAAAAGAUGUCACCUGUUUAAUUGCAGAGUGACACAUUAUUUCUGUGAGCAAUGCAGGAACAGUGAACUAUGCCCAUUGCAUCCAAGAGACCACAGAAUAAUAUACUAACACA